rnacentral:rRNA from 1 species
UACGUAGGGUGCAAGCGUUAAUCGGAAUUACUGGGCGUAAAGCGUGCGCAGGUGGUUGUGUAAGCUUGAUGUGAAAUCCCCGGGCUUAACCUGGGAAUGGCAUUGAGGACUGCACGGCUAGAGUGUGGCAGAGGGGGGUGGAAUUCCGCGUGUAGCAGUGAAAUGCGUAGAUAUGUGGAGGAACACCGAUGGCGAAGGCAGCCCCCUGGGUCAAGACUGACGCUCAUGCACGAAAGCGUGGGGAGCAAACAGG